UUUUAGAUUCAUCCUCUCACAUCUCUUCCGUCUUCUCUAGAGGAAAGCCCUGAUUCAUGCAUUAAGAGAGUAGAAUUGAAUAUAUGCAAUAACUACAGAUCUUUGAGUCAAAAGGAAUGAAGUCGAUUUGCAUUCCAUUUCUACCUAACGGUUCUGCUCCUCAAUAUUAGAUUCAUUCUCUGUUCGUUGUCCAUCUAUAUAUAGUAUACACAUGGGUGUCACAACGUCAACGAUUUGCUCCUUUUGCCUCUUUUUCUCCAAGGGCUACGUCAACGAUUUGCUCUUUUUGCCUCUUUUUCUCCCUGGGCUAUGUCAACGAUUUGCUCCGGCUAAAUUAAUGAAACCCUCUUGUGAUUUAAUUAGGUGAACUAUUAGGCAGGUUCCUCUCUUACUUGAUUAUGAACUGUCUUCAUAAGCCUCCUCUUCACGGUUGUUCUCUCCUCUUGAUUUUUAUGCUUCUCGAUGCAGGUCUCUCUCAAUUUCUUACCAGCUCUCCUCUUCUUCACACAAAGCAACGGCGCUACAAUUCCUUAUCCAGGCCAGAUUCGCUUUUCAUUCCCCAACUCUAAUCGUCAUCGACUCUCUGUACAAACUUUUUAGUCAGCCAAUCUCUCCAAGGGUGAUGGAAAUUCACUUGACUCGCUCAUGAUCCGUCUUCCUUUUGUGCUUCCUUCCAGGGAGCUUUGGUCAUUCUAAUGCUUUUUGAUUAUUGAGUUCUAUGAGAACUGAAAGUUUCAGUCUGCUUAUUCCGUGUGGUAUGCAUGGUUGCUCUCUUUUUGGGUCUCUAUGGUUUGUGGAGCCUCAUAUGCGGAGUAGGAAUUGAGCGAUCAAGAGAGGUGAUUGUGGAGAAAACUGGGAGAAGUGACAUAGUGAACAUUGACAAGAAGAAGUUAUAAGUCGUAACAAACGAGCAAUAGUACAUUCAGAAACAAGUGUUGAGGUUGUUGGUGCAUCAAGAGAUUCUUCUGCUCAACAUAUAUUUCAUAGCGAUGAUGGUAGGUCGAUUGAAGAAAUUUCAGAGGACAAAUCAGCAGACAAUGAUGAAGGGAUAUCCGCUAAUAGUAGUUUGCCAGACGACAUCAAUGAGAAGAGAUACAAGAGAAAGAAGCUAAACAUUGAUUCAGAGUAGACUUCCCAUGGAUGCUAAGGUUUACUUAUGUCUAACUGCUUGCUUUGUUAAACACCGUGGGAAGAUAUCCUGUUGAUUAACUAUUUAGGCUUAAUAAUUUCAACAACUAUAAAAGAGAAUUUUCUGUCAAUGGGAAAGUCUAAUGAUUUCCUCAUCUAUUUUUUCUAAGUAUGGAAUUGUUAUGUUAAAUAAUGUCAUCGUGAGUUGACAAUGAUUACAUAUUGGAAACAACUUAUGAUAA